CCUACGGGUGGCAGCAGUGAGGAAUAUUGGUCAAUGGCCGGAAGGCUGAACCAGCCAAGUCGCGUGAGGGACGACUGCCCUAUGGGUUGUAAACCUCUUUUAUCAGGGAAGACUCAAUGCUACGUGUAGCAUGCUGCCUGUGCCUUAUGAAUAAGCAUCGGCUAACUCCGUGCCAGCAGCCGCGGUACUACGGCGGAUGCGAGCGUUAUCCGGCUUUAUUGGGUUUAACGGGUGCGUAGGCGGUUUUUUAAGUUAGUGGUUAAACGUCGGGGCUUCACCGUGAUUUGCCAUUAAUACUGUAAGACUCGAGUUCAGACGAGGUAGGCGGAAUAAGUGAAGUAGCGGUGAAAUGCUUAGAUAUAACUUAGAACUCCGAUAGCGAAGGCAGCUUACCAGACUGCGACUGACGCUGAAGCACGAGAGCGUGGGUAGCGAACAGGAUUAGAUACCCUUGUAGUC
rnacentral:rRNA from 1 species